GAUGAACGCUGGCGGCGUGCCUAAUACAUGCAAGUCGAGCGAACAGACGAGGAGCUUGCUCCUUCGACGUUAGCGGCGGACGGGUGAGUAACACGUAGGUAACCUACCUAUAAGACUGGGAUAACUUCGGGAAACCGGAGCUAAUACCGGAUAAGAUUUCGAACCGCAUGGUUCGAUAGUGAAAGAUGGCUUUGCUAUCACUUAUAGAUGGACCUGCGCCGUAUUAGCUAGUUGGUAAGGUAACGGCUUACCAAGGCAACGAUACGUAGACGACCUGAGAGGGUGGUCGCCCACCCUGGAACUGAACCACGGUCCAGAGUCCUACGGGAGGCCGCAGUAGGCAAUCUUCCGCAGUGGGCGAAAGCCUGACGGAGCAACGCCGCGUGAGUGAUGAAGGUCUUCGGUUCGUAAAACUCUGUUAUUAGGGAAGAACAAACGUGUAAGUAGCUGUGCACGUCUUGACGGUACCUAGUCAGAAAGCCACGGCUAACUACGUG
rnacentral:rRNA from 1 species